rnacentral:lncRNA from 1 species
GCACUAGCAAUGGGCAUGUUGUUGGUCUUGACCUUAGCGCAGAAUCGAUCUACGAUCCAAUUCCAGGAUCCUUUGCCAAAUUUCCAAACCUGAGGGAGUUGAACUUGAGUUGGAACUACAUCUCUAUAUUCUAGGUUCCUUCGCCAACUUUCCAAACCUGAGGGAGUUGGACUUGAGUUGGAACUACAUCUCUUAUAUUCCAGGUUCCUUUGCCA